rnacentral:rRNA from 1 species
GACGAACGCUGGCGGCGUGCUUAACACAUGCAAGUCGAACGGAAAGGCCCUGCUUUUGUGGGGUGCUCGAGUGGCGAACGGGUGAGUAACACGUGAGUAACCUGCCCUUGACUUUGGGAUAACUUCAGGAAACUGGGGCUAAUACCGGAUAGGAGCUCCUGCUGCAUGGUGGGGGUUGGAAAGUUUCGGCGGUUGGGGAUGGACUCGCGGCUUAUCAGCUUGUUGGUGGGGUAGUGGCUUACCAAGGCUUUGAAGGGUAGCCGGCCUGAGAGGGUGACCGGCCACAUUGGGACUGAGAUACGGCCCAGACUCCUACGGGAGGCAGCAGUGGGGAAUAUUGCACAAUGGGCGGAAGCCUGAUGCAGCAACGCCGCGUGCGGGAUGACGGCCUUCGGGUUGUAAACCGCUUUCGCCUGUGAUGAAGCGUGAGUGACGGUAAUGGGUAAAGAAGCACCGGCUAACUACGUG